GCCUACGGGGGGCAGCAGUGGGGGAUAUUGCACAAUGGGGGGAACCCUGAUGCAGCGACGCCGCGUGGGUGAAGAAGCGCCUCGGCGCGUAAAGCCCUGUCAGCAGGGAAGAAAAUGACGGUACCUGAAGAAGAAGCCCCGGCUAACUACGUGCCAGCAGCCGCGGUAAUACGUAGGGGGCAAGCGUUAUCCGGAUUUACUGGGUGUAAAGGGUGCGUAGGUGGCAGGGCAAGUCAGAUGUGAAAGCCCGGGGCUCAACCCCGGUACUGCAUUUGAAACUGUCCAGCUGGAGUGCAGGAGAGGUA
rnacentral:rRNA from 1 species